ensembl:lncRNA
CUCACAACAGUGACGGGAUGGGGGUGUGGAAUGGGGGACAAUGGGAGACUCUUUCUGGGAGCAAGGAGAGGUCAAAUACAAUAUCUGUUUACCAGCCAGCUGCGGGGCACCAGUCGCCAAGCACAAGAUUCCAGGCACCUACCUGUCAGGGAGCCCGGGGCCCCACACUCAGCUCAGUGGGGGACUAGGGGAUGUUGGAGAAGCAGCUUCUGCAAGUUUGACUUAAGCACUGUUGUGCUGUGCUGUGCUUAGGUGCUCAGUCAUGUCCAGUUCUUUGCGACCCCAUGGACUGCAGCCCACCAGGCUCCUCUGUCCAUGGGGAUUCUCCAGGCAAGAAUACUGGAAAGGAUUGCCAUGCCCUUCUCCAGGGGAUCUUCCCAAGCCAGGGAUCUAACCCAGGUCUCCCGCGUUGCAGGCGGAUUCUUUACCAUCCGAGCCACCAGGAAACCCUAAACCCUGUUAGGCCUCUUUGUUUUUUUGGUCGAAAUGCAAGGCUUGUGGGAUCUUAAUUCCCCGACUAGGGUUGAAUCCAGACCCUCGGCAGUGGAAGCACAGAGUCCUAACCAAUGGACUGCUGAGGAAUUUCCACCGCUAGGCUUCUUUAACCGGUAGGGCUGAGAUUGAAAGAGGAUGGACCACGAAUGGAGAGGCUGACCACUGAGCACCUGUGAGUGCCUGGCUUGUGCGAGGAACAUUCUAGACGUGGCUUUAUCUGGAUGUGACAGUAAGAUGGGGGAGGGUGGCAGUAUCAUGCCCCCUUUACAGUAAAGCGGGGCUCAGAGAGGCGAAGUGAUUUGUCCACGUCAUAUAAUUGGCAGGUGGCAAAGCUGUACCCCACCCUGGGCCUUGUCGGUAGCUUAGACUCAUAUGGCUCGAAAAGGAACUAUUCCAGUGAAUAAACGUAGUCUCAGUCGGCCAGUGGCCAGCAGGAAUUUGUGAACCAUACUGAGAGGGAGGGAUUACAGACACCAUCCAGACAACCCAUUCAUCCAAGAUCUCUUGGAACAGCCAGUGGGUAGUAUCCUUAUGGGCUGUGGUUGUUCAGUUGCCCAGUCGUGUCCGACUCUUUGUGACCCCAUGGACUGCAGCACACCUGGCCUCCCUGUCCCUCACCAUCUCCUGGAGUUUGCCCAACUUCAUGCUCCGGGAGUUGGUGAUGGAUAGGGAGGCCUGGAGUGCUGCGAUUCAUGGGGUCGCAAAGAGUUGGAUACGACUGAGUGACUGAACCGAAUGGAACCGAAGUAUGGUAUGCUGCUGCUAAGUCACUUCAGUUGUGUCCAACUCUGUGCGACCCCAGAGACGGCAGCCCAUCGGGCUCCCCUGUCCCUGGGAUUCUCCAGGCAAGAACACUGGAGUGGGUUGCCAUUUCCUUCU